rnacentral:lncRNA from 1 species
UAGACAAGCCUUACCCCUACCCAAAAGGGCAGAGAGGUGUUUCCAAUCGGCCCCCGGCUCAUAGGAUAAAAGGAAAAACAACAGUAAAACAAAAACAAAGACAAAAACAAAAACAAUAAAGCAUUAGUAACUCUAGCAGAAAUAGCGCAAAUAGCGAGAAUAAUUAUCUAAACAUACGAUACAUAAAUACAAUCGCAUGCAGUAAUAUCAUACAGUAACUACCAUAACUAACAGUCAUAGGGGGGACAUAAGCUAAAACACAAGACAUCUAUGGGUAACUCUGCUGACCCACACCCAACCCCAGAUGGGGCGCACGAAAAACUCUAGGAGCCCCUAUCCUACAACCCUGAUUCUAGACCUCCAGACUUUCCUAUCGAGGGUCAUGUACUCGGAAACCUGCAUUCUAGUCAUGUCCUGCCUAAUCACCUCUCCCCAAUACUUCUUAGGCCUCCCUCUGCCUCGCCGACCGCCAACAAUCUCCAGCCGCN